AGCCGGGUCGUCUAGCGGCCAAGGAUGCGGGGCUUUGGUCCCACACGGGAGGAAACCCCGUGACCGGGGUUCGAAUCCCCGCCCGGCUA
rnacentral:tRNA from 1 species